ensembl:lncRNA
GGCGGCCGGGGCCGGCACAGCGCCACCGGGGGCGUGGGAUCGGGCCGGGGCUCCCGGGGAACCCUCGGGGUCCCCCCGCCCGGGGUCCUGAGGGACGGGAGGGCGGCGACACGCACACCCCCGCUGCCUCCGGGCCCGGGCGCGCCCCGACCUGCAGAGCCCAGGUGGGCGCCGGAGCGAAACCGAAAGCGGCCGGUAGCGGGGAGGGGGCGGCACGGCGGGAGCGGGGUGUCCCGCUGGAGCCUCCCCGACCCCGCCGCCCCGACCCCGCCGCCGGGAGGGGCCUGCGGACCGGCCCGGGCUGCUGUGCCGAAGGCUGCGGGGCCGGAGGUGAGAGGGGAGCGGGCGGCUCCCCGGGCGGGAGGGAGCGGGCCUGGGUCUCGGCUGCGCUCCUGGCCCGGCCCCGCCGGUGCCCCUGGGCUGCCCCAGGCUCGGCACGGCGCCCCGGUUCCCCGUGUGCCCCGCUGCGGGCGGCUGGUGCCAGUCGGGGCUGAACGCCCGGAGCCGCCGCCAGGAGCUCCCGCUGCACCCUCACCCCUCCUGCUGCCGCGCUCGGUGCGGCCGGUGGCACUGCGGGCUCAGAGGUGCCCUGGGACAGGGGACCCACGUCCCCCACCUGUGUCACCCCCCGGGGCCAGCCGUGGCCUGACAUUGCAGGGGCCACCGGGAAGCUCCCUGGCAGAGGCGGCGGAGCAUUUCCCGCCACUGUGCCGUGCCGGAGGCAUCAGGAAUUCCCACAGCCGGCAGCCUUGGCCAGCGCAGGGUCCCAGGGAUCCCCGGGCAGCACCGCGGGAGCUCCGCACGGGGCCGGUGGGGUUCCCCACGCGGUUUGAAUUCCCCCCGUGGCGUUGCCGAGGGCUCCUCGCCGGGGCGGGGGCCGGAGGCGCUGGCAGCGGCGGGGCCGGGCCGGGCCAUGCCGCCUCUAGGCGCAGGUGCCGGGGCAGGUGCCCUCCCUCGGGGACGGCUCGUGUUUCCGGGCCCCGUCGGGGGCUGAUGGGCUGGCACCAGUUGCUCCAGCCCCACCGGGGCUUUGUUCGGAGCCGUUUCCUUUUGGCUCGGCCGUGCCGCCCUCCCCUUGGCACCCGGCCCGCGGCGCGGGGGGAGCCGGCAGCACAACCCCGGUCUCUGCCGGCACCCCCGAUCACAACGGCCCGACGGUGGCUCCCAGUCACCUCCUCCGCCCCGCUCCCCGCCGGUAAGUCGCCCUCUCCCCUCCUGGCCCACCGACUGCCCCAGGUCGGGGUGGCAUGGCCGUGGUGCCCAUCCCUCCGCGGCGCCAGCGCGGGCAACGGAAUCCCAAAAGCAGCUGUUCCCGCUGUGCCCAGCUGCCCUGGGGUUUCGUUACCCGCGCUCCCGCCACUGCCUCGCCGCACACCCCCCACCCCUGCCCACCUCCCUGUGCUGGGCAAGAGCCGCGUGUCUCACUGCAACCCUGCCGGGGCUGGGGCAGCGCCUGGGGCCACGCUGGAAGAAGGGUGGUGUCAGGAUGGGGGAUCACCCGUGGCCAGCCUCGUGGCUCAGGCCCUGCACCGGGCUUCUGUUUCUUGUGCCCCCAACAGCUAA